ensembl:lncRNA
CAAAAAUAACACUUAACCAUAUAAACAUUAUUUAGAUAGAAGCUGAUUAUGACUUUUAAAAAUUAUGGCCAUGAGUAGUAUUUGAUAUCUUUAAUAUAGUGCUUUACCAGAAUAGCAUUCUGAGUGAUAUAUGUCAAGAUAUAGGCUACUGUACUGUAUGUCCAGGUUACACAUUGCAUGCAGAACUGUAUCCUACCGAGGUUCCAUGUGGAAUACAGUAUGCCAGGCUCUGCACCCCUGUGGCCUAUAAGAAUAAGCCACGUUAGUUUCCCUAACAAAAAUAUUUAUCUUACAGUAGCUGUAUCCCUGACCACAUAUGAGGGGAAAAAACAUUACAUGGCUGUACUAAAUUACUAUGAAGUUUUCAAGCUUCCUCCAGCAGAUGGGACUACAGACGUGUUACCUACAGUAUGUAGCUUCCACAGUCUAACACAAGAUGGCAGUAGCACCACUUUGUGCCCUUCCUUACCGUACCUGGAACCUGUUGUCUCGCAUCUUUUUACACUGGACAGACCACCAACAAAUAGUAAACUUUGGAAGGUUUUUAUUGGCCAGUUGACGAUAAUGAUAUGCACACAGAAAAUAACUAGGUUCUGUUUUCAUGCAACUGCUUUCAUGAGGAUACAGUCAGUGUUGUUUGUAGGAGUUGGAAUGCAAGCACACCAGCAAGGCCUCGGCUAUGAUGACACCUCAUCAUAACUUAAAAACCUGCUGUUCUGAGGUGUGGUGGAUGUCCCUCAUGAUUGGCCCAAUGGGCCACAGCCCAGCAUCUGCUUAGUCCAGAUAACACCAACAAUCAGCCCAGAUCUACGUCUACAAAUCUACCAAGAGGGGAAACAGUCUGAAAUCCCUGUCUACAUCUGUGGCUAAGCGGACUCCAACAACUGUUGCUUGGAGAACUUUGCAUAACAAUCAUGAGGCUGCAGAAAGAAAAGCAGAGAAAAGAGGGUCUAGAUGGGCUGAGACCCAUGGUGCACGGAGAGGGCCAAGAAGCUGCCAGCGUCCCAGCCGCCCCAUGUCUGGGCUGGCACGGCAUUAAGCGGGCCGUUUAGAGGCCUGUCAAAAGCUCAUCACGGCGAGGAAGCCGUCUCCGUGGGGAUGCUGUGCGAGUGCCAGGGCACGGUAGGGGAGAGAAACCAGUCUUGCCCAGCAGCUUGGCCAUAAUGAGGAGGAAAAUUCCCAUUCUUGCAUCCAGAUUCAUGUAACAAUAACAAUCCGCUUUUGUCCAACUUUUCUUCUUUUUUUUUUUACUCAAUACCCUUUUCCCCCCUUUAAUUUCUGCUCAUCAGCUAUACCAAGUCCAUUAAUGAUGAUGGCUUAUAUUUUUUGUCUCUCACCUAUUUAUAUCUAGUGGAGUUAUGUUACGUGGUCACCUCCCAACACAUUACUCAAGUCCAGCCGCCUGGCUUAUUAGAGGAGUUCUACUGUAUCCUGGUGCAUGAGACUGCUAACUCUGACGUUGUGUAACAUCAUUACUUAGUUCAUGUGGUGUCUUAUAGUGGUACAAAGUGAGCAUGUUUCCAUUCAAAGUGACAGAUAGAACAUUGGUUGUUUCUGUAUAUUUGCUAGUAGCCUGGUAGUUGGCAUUAGAGAGGUUGUCAUGAGGCUCUGAUGACUGUGGAUGAUGUCAGUUAUGGCAGUCAAGAUGCAGAAUACCGGUUUUAAGUAAUAACUUCCUGGCUGGGGCAUUUAUAUGUGACGUCAAUCUAAAGUUGUCAGCAAAGAGGUGUGAUGAGUACAAUGUAAUUCUGUUUUUCAUUAUUUUCAUUAUUUUUUAACUGAAAUCAUGCCUCUUGAUUUGUGAACGCACCAAUUGACAAGCACCAUGAGUGUAAAUUAGCAGCAACUCAGGGAAUGGUGCCAGACAUUACAAAUUGAGAGCACUAACUUAAUUUAAAGGGUCAUGAAAUACAACCUCUGAAAUGUCAAAUAUCAUUUUUGC